rnacentral:rRNA from 1 species
CGUAAGCAACCUGCCCGAAAGACCGGGACAACAGCUCGAAAGGGCUGCUAAUACCGGAUGUGUCCACUCGGUCUCAUGACUGAGUGAGUAAAUCAUUUAUGGCUUUCGGAGGGGCUUGCGGCCUAUCAGCUAGAUGGCGGUGUAACGGACCACCAUGGCGACGACGGGUAGCUGGUCUGAGAGGAUGGUCAGCCGGACUGGGACUGAGAUACGGCCCAG